UAUACUAACUAUGGCAUAAGAAAAUUGCUUUUCGAGAAACGAAAGCAAACAAUUGGGGCAACGAUGAUGAAAAACUUGACCAACAAGAAUAUUGUUCAAACAAACAAAUUUGAACAAAUGAAUAAGAAAUUGUGAUUUGAACAAAGAGAACGAGAUUUGAACAUCCAAAUUAUAUCAUCAAUAAUCAACAUUGAAUAACAACGGAAGGAGUAUGAACGCGAGAGUGAAAUUUGAAAUAUUAAAGAGUAAGGAAUUUAU
rnacentral:lncRNA from 1 species